UACGGAGGGGGCUAGCGUUGUUCGGAAUUACUGGGCGUAAAGCGCACGUAGGCGGAUUUGUAAGUCAGGGGUGAAAUCCCGGGGCUCAACCUCGGAACUGCCUUUGAUACUGCAAAUCUCGAGUCCGGAAGAGGUGAGUGGAAUUCCUAGUGUAGAGGUGAAAUUCGUAGAUAUUAGGAAGAACAUCAGUGGCGAAGGCGGCUCACUGGUCCGGUACUGACGCUGAGGUGCGAAAGCGUGGGGAGCAAACAGG
rnacentral:rRNA from 1 species